AGAGCGAACGCUGGCGGCAGGCUUAACACAUGCAAGUCGAGCGGGCGUAGCAAUACGUCAGCGGCAGACGGGUGAGUAACGCGUGGGAACAUACCUUUUGGUUCGGAACAACCCAGGGAAACUUGGGCUAAUACCGGAUAAGCCCUUACGGGGAAAGAUUUAUCGCCGAAAGAUUGGCCCGCGUCUGAUUAGCUAGUUGGUGAGGUAACGGCUCACCAAGGCGACGAUCAGUAGCUGGUCUGAGAGGAUGAUCAGCCACAUUGGGACUGAGACACGGCCCAAACUCCUACGGGAGGCAGCAGUGGGGAAUAUUGGACAAUGGGCGCAAGCCUGAUCCAGCCAUGCCGCGUGAGUGAUGAAGGCCCUAGGGUUGUAAAGCUCUUUUGUGCGGGAAGAUAACGACGGUACCGCAAGAAUAAGCCCCGGCUAACUUCGCGCCAGCAGCCGC
rnacentral:rRNA from 1 species